UAGCUACAUUGAAAAAUCUCCUUCUGCUCCUUAUUGUUACUUGUUUGCUUAACUUAUCAUUUGUUUGUUUUUUUGGAAGGUGAGGAAACUUGGGUUAUUACAGCUGUCAAGGCUGAGGCUCUGGCCCCAAUGACUCCAGGAACAACACUACUGAAAAAGCUGCUAGUGUCUACCUCUUCGGGAGAGAUGGUCCACUCUUGCCCUACUGGGGAUUCCUAUCCCAGGAAUCCAAUGAGUCUUUCCAGUUCACUUGAGGAAUUAACAUAAGAUCUUCGAACCAUCAGAAAAUAUGAUGACAUAAUCAAUAAAGCUUUUGAAGAGAAAAUUGAGCUUGAAUAA
rnacentral:lncRNA from 1 species